rnacentral:lncRNA from 1 species
UUAAACAAUUCCGUGUAAAUUGUGCGUAUAAAGUCAUUGGAAGCUAUUUCUCAGGACAGCCUCGCUAGCUAGCUACCUGCUGGAGUGAGGAAGAUAAUCAAUAGAAAGAAAUAGAGCUGAGCAUGAGACUAGGAAGCUUCAGAGCAGUUAGUGCUGAUAAAAGGUAAGUGAGUGAUGGAAACAAAAAAUGAGAGACUUGAGGACUGUAGGACAUUUUCACAUUUGUUUUUCCCAAUUCAAAUAAUAUUUUCUAAAUUGUCAUAGACACAGUUAACAAAAAGUUCACCCAGUCCUGUUGAUAUUUGUACUCUUUCUUUUCAAAGAGAACAAUGAACAGUAUUUUAUUGAAAAAGAAUUCAAAUUACUUAAUCUUGGAGUUUGUACUCCCUUAGAUAAUCACAUAUAGAAAUAAAUGUACAGUGCAUCCCAUCACUAAACCAUAUCCUUCAGUUCCACAUCCACAGAUCCCUUAAAUAUCUCCAGGGAUGAGGAAUCCACCAAUUCUCUGGGAUAUCCAGUGCUUGACCACACUCUUGGUGAAGAAAUUCUACCUAUACCCAAUCUAAAACUCUACUGGUACAAUAUACAACAUAUAUUGUCUUAUAUAUAUAUAUAUAUAAGAUCUAUGGGAUGAUAUUUUUGAUUCUGUUCCAAGUGGUUAAUGAGAUUAUGUAUGUUUAAAUUGGCCAUGGUGUAUCUUUCAUGAAUAUCUUCACAGUGAAGAAACUAUGGUGUUAUACUACAUGGUCAUGGAAGCUCCUGUACCACCCUCAGGCCUGUGAUCAAUAAAGGCUUUGGUUUCUAAAUGCACUGGAUCAAUGUCAAUAAAAACAAUUCAAGGCUUCCUUCUGUCAUCAGGCUGGAAAAUCUCUUUGUUGGUAUAUGACUGCAUACAUUUGUUCAUCUUCAUCACAAAAACAAAUACAUAUUUUUGAAUUUUUGUCCAAGGAAAAGGGGAAUCUUACCUGUCCUCAGUCUGUAUAAAAAAACUAUGUAGACCUCCUCUUUAAUGUGUGCAGUACCCAGGACUUUUGAAAAAUGCACUGACACAAUUCAAAUACUCAAUUAAAACAAACAAACAAACAAAAAACAACAAAAAAGAGUCUAUAUAGACAUGGUCAAUAGUGGAUCGUGUACUUUAAGAAAUGAAAAACAUUGUCUUCACAUUUGCUAUUAUGAUUUAUUAAACAAAUUCCUGAUCCUAACAGCAAGUAAAAGCUAGCAAAGUGCAACUGGCUUUAUGGAAACAUAAAUGCUGGUUCAGAGAAAGUAGUCUCCCAGCCAUCAUCAUGUGCAAUAGAUCUUUCAAGGCACUAGACACCUGACCAGAGUGAUCUCAUGACCUGCUGUUUGAUACUCUCUAAAAUCUUUGUCUUGACUGCUCAGUGAGAAAGUUGUAGUGAAAUGAAAUUAUAUCAACACAUUGGAACCCUCAUAAUCAGGCUACAUGCAGAAAUAGACAAUGCAGACUACUUGGGUGGUUGCAGUGUGUAAC